AGAAUAUAUCCUGCCAAGUCAUAUUUUUUCAGUUGCAUGUGUGUGAACUUGGAUACAGAGUAAAGGCUGCUAGCAGGUGGCAUCAAGUGUGAUCACACUGUUAAAGACUGUCUUCAGCUACUGUUGUGCAGCAGUGUUUCCCUUUCUUAAAUCUGCUGUCCCAGAGUACACCCAGCAUCACUAUGGCUCAGCUAUGUGCAGCAGAGGAUCCCUUUGGAGCAGCUGGAUCUGGCUGUGAUCUGACAUGGAGCAGUGCCCUGCUACCAAACCUUGGCAUAAUAUGGAAGUACAUCAAUUCUUCACCUGAAUUGUAAUAACUUCAAUUUACAAAUGCUGAGCUAAAACAAACGCAUAUUUUCCUUCAGAUUAGUUCGAAGAUCAGUUUAUUUUUCUUUAUAUGUCCAGGAUACCAUUAAUGCAUCUCUGUGAAAAGAAUUUCUAUCAGUAACUGCAGCAUCUGGCAUCACCC
ensembl:lncRNA